GAUGAAGAACGCAGUGAAAUGCGAUACGUAAUGUGAAUUGCAGAAUUCAGUGAAUCAUCGAAUCUUUGAACGCAUAUUGCGCUCUCUGGUAUUCCGGAGAGCAUGCUUGUUUGAGUAUCAGUAAACACCUCAACUUCCAUAUCUUUUUUGAAAUGGGAGUUGGACUUGAGUGAUCCCAACGCUUUUCCUCACCGAAAAGUGGCGGGUUACUUGAAAUGCAGGUGCAGCUGGACUUUUCUCUGAGCUAUAAGCAUAUCUAUUUAGUCUGCCUAAAAAACAGAUUAUUACCUUUGCUGCAGCUAACAUAAAGGAGAUUAGUUCUUGUGCUGACUGAUGCAGGAUUCACAAAGACAGGCUUCGGCCGACUUUGUAAACUCGAUCUCAAAUCAAGUAAGACUACCCGCUGAACUUAAGCAUAUCAAUAGGCGGAGGA
rnacentral:misc_RNA from 1 species